UACGUAGGGUGCGAGCGUUGUCCGGAAUUACUGGGCGUAAAGAGCUCGUAGGUGGUUUGUCGCGUUGUUCGUGAAAACUCACAACUCAAUUGUGGGCGUGCGGGCGAUACGGGGCAGACUGGAGUACUGCAGGGGAGACUGGAAUUCCUGGUGUAGCGGUGAAAUGCGUAGAUAUCUGGAGGAACACCGGUGGCGAAGGCGGCAUCCUGGACCAAUACUGACGCUGACGGAGCGAAAGCCAGGGGAGCAAACGG
rnacentral:rRNA from 1 species